rnacentral:SRP_RNA from 1 species
GCCAGGUGUGGUGGUGCACACCUGUAGUCCCAGCUACUCAGGAGGCUGAGGCAGGAAGAUUGCUUGAGCCCAGGAGGUUGAGGCUGUAGUGAGCUAUGAUCACAUCACUGCACUCCAGCCUGGACGACAGAGCAAGACCCUGUCUCAA